UGAGUAACCUGCCCUUAACUCUGGGAUAAGCCUGGGAAACUGGGUCUAAUACCGGAUAUGACUCCUC
rnacentral:rRNA from 1 species